ACGCAGUCACCACCUCUGGUCCUCUGGACGCACAGGACGCUCCACUGAUUGAAGCCCUGCCCUCAGCCAUCGCCCUGCAUCUCACCCGGCCCAGUGCAACACCCCCCACAGACCUGACCACAGACACACACUCGCCCAGCAGAUCCCCAUAGCUGCUGGCAUCAGCCAAGGGCAUGCGGCGGAGGAAGCCGCUCCUGUCACUACAAGAGGCCACUAAACCGGUACCUGAGACAGUUGUUACCAAUGGACUACAGUUUCCUCCUCUUUCCCAGUCUCCUCCUGCAAGUGAGAAGUCUUUGUCCAGUCAGCAAAGAGCCAGGACAGAGGUGGAGGAAGAGACACUUGAGCCGACUAACGGGGGUCCCAAGAGGGUUUUAUUCCGCACCAAACCAGAUGUGCUCUUCCUCACCCUGCAGGGAUGAGAUGGCGGCCACGACCCCUUGUCCGACAGACACCGAGGAGGAAGAUCAAGAUGAGGAGGAUCUGAGGUACACAUUAAGACAAGCGGACAGAAGGAUCGAUCACAGUGAUCGGACAGGCCUCAGUAGCAGGUUGGAGGAGGACGGUUUGGAGGAGCCUCUCUCGUAUCGCAGACAGAGGAACAAAAAAGCAGAAGAGGAGCUGCAUCACAUAUCUGAGAACCUCUCCCAUCGACUUGAGGAACUUGAUCAGAUGCUCAAACGAGUUCUGGGUGAAAG
rnacentral:lncRNA from 1 species